GGUUAAGUUAAUAAGGGCACACGGUGGAUGCCUUGGCGUUAGGAGCCGAAGAAGGACGCAGCGAACUGCGAUAAGCCUCGGGGAGUGGUAAGCACACUUUGAUCCGGGGAUCUCCGAAUGGGGAAACCCACCAUCUGUAAUGGGAUGGUAUCCUUCACUGAAUACAUAGGUGAUGAGAGGGCAGACCCGGUGAACUGAAACAUCUAAGUAGCCGGAGGAAGAGAAAACAAUAGUGAUUCCGUCAGUAGUGGCGAGCGAACGCGGAAGAGCCUAAACCGUAGGAUUUAUCCUACGGGGUUGUGGGGCGUUUCAUAUAGGAGUUACAAAAGACAGAUGUAGGUGAACAGUUUGGGAAGACUGACCAAAGAGCGUGAUAGUCGCGUAACCCAAACAUCUGUCUCUCCGAGACCAACCCCGAGUAGCGCGGGACACGUGAAAUCCCGUGUGAAUCUGGCAGGACCAUCUGCUAAGGCUAAAUACUACCUAACGACCGAUAGUGAACCAGUACCGUGAGGGAAAGGUGAAAAGCACCCCGGGAGGGGAGUGAAAUAGUACCUGAAACCGUGUGCUUACAAAUAGUCGGAGCACUUUUUAUGUGUGACGGCGUGCCUUUUGUAGAAUGAACCGGCGAGUUACGAUAGCGUGCGAGGUUAAGUCGAAGAGACGGAGCCGUAGCGAAAGCGAGUCUGAAUAGGGCGAAAGUACGUUGUCGUAGACCC
rnacentral:rRNA from 1 species